UGGGCACACUCCAGGGCCUCGAUGUCCUUCUUGUAGUGAGGGGCCCAAAGCUGAACACAACACUCGAGGUGCGGCCUCACUGCAGGGGUCACAGCCUUUCUGCCUGAGUGCUUGGACCAGCACAGUGGAGUACAGGAGCACAAGGGAGUAUAUCCAGAUGACGUGAUAUGAAACCUCUUCCAUUCAUACUGAGGUAACUGAAGACAUCGUCAGUCAGCAGAGCUGGGUAACCUGCGUUCAAGAACUUAGGAGAACCACUGAAGAAUUCUUAUGACCAAUAAGGUUGGGCACUAUAAAAGUUUCAGGAGAAUACCUAGAAGCCACUAGUUAAAAACACAAGUGGGACAAGCAGGAUCAGCAACCUUUCACCCUGAGUUUAAUCCCAGAAUCAGAACAGUAAAUACAUGCUUCUGUCACCAAGUAGAGAAAUAAAAGGCGGGAGAUGUAAUUAACACAACCAAAAAUAGGUUUAUGGAAAUCAGCGCUAGGGCUGCAGCCAGCACUUAGAUGCCCUCUUCCCUGGGAGAGGAGUUUGUUGCAGGAACACAUACCAUUGUGAAGGGGUAUUAAGGUGGAGAAUAGGUUCCAGCUCCCAAAGGUGACAGUGCCAACAGCACAAGAGUUGAAGAUGAAACUUAUCAAACUCUGUGUAACACCACAAGCUGGGGAUGCCUGACAUACCCAGGAUUAAAGAUUGAGAUUCAGGAAAUGUUUUGAUAUUAAAAACCUCAUUUAAACACCUAAAAGCCCUCACAUUCAAACAAAGACUCCAAAACCUUUGGAGGAACCACCUUUCCUUCUCCUGUGGGUGGCUGCCGAGUUGAGAAAGUGCUGUCAUGUUUUCAGGUGUCUCCACCCACAGUGCUAACAUUCCCUCAGUGCAGGUAUGCAUUGUGGUGUAUCCCUGGGGCUGUCAGCCUGCUUUUGCCCAACAGCCUCUUUGAAAGGCCUCAUCGUAGACAUUUGAUAAUGGGAGUGUCCCUCGCUGACGGGACUGGCCCUCUCACCGACUGAAUUUGAAACUGUGAUACUAAAACAACAGUUCUGCCUGUUGCUGCCCAGUGCUGGAACAGCCCAGCAGGCAGAAAGCCAUGUGGAUGGUGGGAAUGCAGCCCUGUGUGCUGCACAGCCUGAGAGAACAGCUUGGCUCUGCCAGCAGCAUUCCUCCUGUGCGGCCUCCCCAAAACACAGCGCUGUUCUAGGCAUAAUGAAGAGCCAAGCGGCAGGGAAGAGCAAAUCUGGAAGAUGGAUGGCUGCAAUCCAGUGACCAGAUCCUUGGGGAAGUACUCGCUUUCUCAGAUGUGUAUGUGUUAUGCAGAGCAGAAGAUAACAGCGAGAAAUACUCCCCAGAGCAGGAACAUCAAUACCUGCAGAGUUCUUGCCUUAGUCCCUUCUCUGAAGCAAGAUUUAUUUUUAUGAUAGAUGAAUGCUUCUCUUUUUAAACCUGCUCCAGCAAGAGAUGAAAAUUAGAACAUGCCUCACAUUUUCUAGCUCAAGGAGGACCUCGCUUGAUACCAUGCUUGAGCUGAUUGCCAAGUGUCUGAAAACACUGUGGGUGAAGUGUAUAGGUAGAUUUGUUGGUGGUGGUGUGUGCGUAUAUGUGUUUUGGAAUUCCACUCUGUGGAGAAGGUACCAUAAUUUUCACUGUAGCGUCUUAAGUUCUUAAACCCAUUUGCUUUAUUAUCUUCCAAACAGAAAGCACCCCCCGUUCGUAAGUCGUACCGUGCACGUUUAUGUACAUUCCACACAGACACCCACACAGCACGCUGGGAUGCUUUGCCGAGCAGGAAGGCACAACCUGAGAAGAGCUUGUAUAUGCAGUGAUGCUCCAUGUAGUAUCUGGUUUAUAUUACCACUGGAUGGGCUUGACUGUGGUAUGCUGUGUACGUGUACCCAAAGGUACAUGCUGAAGCCUGGAUUUUGCAAAGACUUAAAAAAAAGUCACCGACUUCACAUAUGUUGUAAAUAGUUACAAAGAUUUCAGCUUGUAUAUAUAAAAAAGCAAUGGGUAUGUUUUAUGAGGUCUAAUGUUUAAUUUUCUCUCCACUGAGCAUGAAGAAAAUACACAAGUGUACAACGAGCAGAUAAAAACCAGAUUGUGCCUGUCUCUGUGGGCUAAGCUUGUCCUGCAGUUCUUGCUUAUCUGUACUUCUGGAUUGGGAGAGGCGCAUAAUAUACAUCAGCAAAUGAUCUACAUAGUCAUUAACUGCUUGACCAUCUGGUUGAAACAAAUAUUAUAGAAGCUGAUUCCCACUUGGAGACCACUCUGGUACCACACCCAUAGGGGAAAUCUUCGUAUCUUUGCGAGGCACGAUUUCAAAUAGCUCAGCUGCGUUCUCCAAGGCUGAUUUCUCCACUCUAAGGCACUAGACUUCCAUAUUUCCACUUUUGUCCAUGUACGCUUUUCAGGUACCUAUGUACAGGGUAGCAAAGCUACUGGCAGAAUGACAGAUGAAAACAAAAGCUUCUUCUCUUCCCCUUUUCCUGCAGGUAUGCAGUUUUAGAACAUUUAACCCACCUAGCGUCCGUGUCCAGACUUCUCUAUCUCCCACUAACCAAAAUGACUUAAACUUAGAAGUGCAAAUGCUACUUUAUUUUAUGUUCAUAGUUUAUCACCCGCCUUUUGGCCACUGCUUGCUUUAUGUGAUAAGGUUCAGUCACUGGAUGCUUUAUGCCUUGGGUCUUAUGUGUUGCAAUUUGUUUUCCAGCCAAAGAUAAAGUAGCAGUCUUUCCAUUAUUUUUCAUCUCUGCUUCCUUUCUUUCCUGCUUAACCUUUUGUCCCCUGUAGAAUUUGGGCAAAUCCAGCAGUCUUUAUAUUCUGACAAAACUGUACUUGGGGGCUAAAUUCCACUUAAAUCGAGUGACAGUUUAGAUUGGAUACAGAUUUUUCCCUUACUUGGUUUGUACAAAAUCUUAAAUUGAAGGGAAAACAAGAUCAAGUGGUUUGAAAGGCGCGAUGCACUGAGACUUACUUUUGGAAAAACUGUACUCGUAGUCCAGUAGAUCAGACUUUACAUUUCAUUACAAGCAAAGAGAAGGUGUGAUUUAAUUGCAGUCACGUUUAUUUGCAGUUUCUAUACACACUUUCUAGGUAAUCAAACUUUUCCGACACAUUUUUUGAGAGGGGUUCACAAUGAAACUGUCACCGUUUUUACUAAAAAUAAAUACAAGACUUAAAGUGUUGCACAGCUCUAAAAUAUACAAAGGCUUGGAUUUAAUGUAAACUUUGAAAACAUUUUACAAAAGAAACCAUCUUUGCAACAAUUUAAAAAGUUCAUAUUUACAAAUAUUACAAAAAUACAAAAUGGAUGCAAGUCCAUAAACCAUUGUCUUUUCUGCCAGCAUGAACUGGUGCUAGUACCAAAAUAGUUACACUGUAACCUUCUUAAUUUUUUUUUUUAAAUUCUUUAAGUCAUAACCUACAGUAUUUCUCUAUAUCUGCCACCAUUGCAGCAAAUGCACUCAAUCACUGACCUUUGGCAAAAGCAAAUAUAUGCUUUAUUUGCUACAACUAUUCCAUCUUCUCUAUGCUGCCAUGAAAAAAAGGGAAAGAAAAAAAGGGGAAAAAAAUGUUACUUUUCAAAACACACAGCUGUGUAACUUCCAAAAUCAUCUCCAGAACAUCAGUGCAAACAACGGAACAACAGGUUGAAACAAUGAUUCACUGGUGGCCAUUAGGCACAUACUGUACCCUGUUUCAAGAUGUCUGAUGUUCCCCUUGCUCUACAGCUUGUCCUCCGGUGCCUUGGAGGCACACCUGCAACACCGAAGGGGUCUCCCUCCAUUUCCUUUCCUCUGCCUCCCACAUUUGUUAUGAAUUCUCUUCUUCACAGUGGAUUUACAGUGGCUUUGUUUGUGUUUCGAUCCGCUGAACGGAAAAUAGGAAGAAAGCCUCUCAUAGAUUUUACACAAAAUAAGACUAUAUUUCAAUGUGAUUGUUCUCUGGUCAUCUUGUAUGUGAAGUAUUGCCUCACAAUUCAAGUCAAAAAACAUUUUAGUGUGUAUAUAUAUUUAUAUAUGGCACCUAUGAAAUUGUUGACUGGUAAUAAAAAGUGGUAUCACCAAAGUCAAUUCAUUUGUAUUCUCUUAACAGUUUUGAACGAUUCUUUAAAGCACAUAGAACACCUUUAAGGGCAAACGUUAUAAAAGAACUGGUAAAAUUUUAGGGAAAAUGACUUAAGAUGACAAACUAAGGAGUUUCUGCCCAAUACCUAAACUUCCUUUACUCAUGUUCUCCAGAAAGUGUUUUGUUAUAUGCUAUACAAUUCCUAUUAAAACAUUCCCAUUCAUUCAUUUCACUUGUGUUUAGACUUAUUUUAUUAACUAAGCUACUAAUGUGACUAGCCUUUAAUUUCCAAACCUUGCCCCACCUACCUUUUUAAAAACUACUUUAGACUUCCCUGUUUUGAAGCCCUUUAGCUGAUUUACCAUGCCUCUUCCCAACACACGUACUGCAUGCAUAGUGAUUCCAUCUUGCAUACUGCACACAACCAGACUACACAGGAGGACGGUAGGAUACCCUGAAUUAUAUAUUUCUUGUGGUAAACGCUAGACAAAAUGAGACACAAACCUUAUGGGAAAUAACAUUCAGGAUUUGUUAAACCAUUCUGACUUGCUCAAACUCUUUAAAAUCAUAACCGCUUUAGGUUGAAUCUUCCUCUUAAAAACACAAUCUGCCCUCUUUUAAAACUCUCAGCUUUAUGCAUUACAUGAAUAAAAGCACA